rnacentral:rRNA from 1 species
AGAGUUUUAUCCUGGCUUCAAGGACAAAACCGGCUUGGCGGGGCGGGCGUUAAACACAAAUGCAAAGUCAUGGGGGGUUCUUUUGGGGCGACCUGGGGAAUAACCGGCGAAACGGGGUGCGGAACACGUGAGCACCUGCCUUUCCUGUGGGGGAUAGCCGGCCCAACGGCCGGGUAAUACCGCAUACGCUCAUUUCCUCGCAUGGGGGGUGAGAAACCCUUUGGGGCGGAGAGAGGGGCUCGCGGCCUAUCAGCUAGUUGGCGGGGUGACGGCCCACCAAGGCGGCGACGGGUAGCUGGUCUGAGAGGAUGGCCAGCCACAUUGGGACUGAGAGACGGCCCAGACUCNUACGGGAGGCAGCAGUGGGGAAUCUUGCGCAAUGGUCUGACGACUGACGCAGCGACGCCGCGUGUGGGAGGACGCCCUUCGGGGUGUAAACCACUGUUGCCCGGGACGAACCGGAUCUUGAGAGAUCCCUGACGGUACCGGGUGAGGAAGCACCGGCUAACUCCGUGCCAGCAGCCGCGGUAAUACGGAGGGUGCGAGCGUUGUCCGGAAUCACUGGGCGUAAAGGGCGCGUAGGCGGCGCGGUAAGCGGGCGGUGAAAGCCCGGGGCUCAACCCCGGGUCGGCCGUGCGGACUGCCGGGCUGGAGCACUGUAGGGGCAGGCGGAAUUCCGGGUGUAGCGGUGGAAUGCGUAGAGAUCCGGAAGAACACCGGUGGCGAAGGCGGCCUGCUGGGCGGUGGCUGACGCUGAGGCGCGACAGCGUGGGGAGCAAACAGGAUUAGA